AUCUUAACAACAACCUGUAAUACAAUACCAAAACAACAUAAAAAUUUUACAUGCUAGCUAGCCAACGUACCUAUGUCUUCUCUUUAUAUUUUGGCUUACUAAUUUAAAUUAAAUUUUGACCUGUCACUUUAGGCUUCUUUCAAAAAAAAAAAAAAAGGUGUUGAAAUUCUUCAAUUUUUUUGUGGAUUUGUUUUAGAAGGUGCUAAUUUUGUAGAUCAAAAGGGGGAAAAAAACCCUGAAACUUUAGUUCUUGCAAGAUAUUAGACUUCAUUUAUAAAGUUAUCCACUUUGUAGCUUGCGUCUUCCUUGGACUCUGCAUCUUAUUAAGUCUGACUUUUCGACAACUAAUAUCAACGCGAGCCUGUUUAGAUAAGUUGAUUGGAACCACUCUCUAGUGCUGUGUUGAUGACUUCUGUAGCUCCUGCUAUGAUUGCAUGUUUAAUGUUGUUGUAUUUAGCUUUCUUGUUAUGAUGUUCAAUAUUUUUCUGUAUCACCUUGAACCUUUUGUCACCUGGGUAAUAUUCUCUCGUUCUUGGAGUUAAAUUUAUAUUUUCUGGAAGUUCAGUAGAUGGAACAAUGUUGGUUUGAUUUUCUAUUUUUAGGAAAGUUUCAUUUGAGCUGAUUAAUUUGAUCACGAAAGUGCUAUUUAUGUUCAAGUUAUAGUAUUCUAAUAUCGUCCAUCUACAAAACUAACAGUUUCUCCUACAUGGAAAAUGAUAUACAUGAAUUAUUUGUCGUAACUUGGUUCUUGGAGUUGUCCAAUGUUCAUUGGUGGUUAUUAUGGUUCUUUUUCUAUUUAUUAAACAUGCACAAAGAGAGUGAGGUAGUAGUUAUUAUUGAAAGUUGAUUUAGGGCCCGUUUGGCAUUGCUCUUGAAAAAUCAAAAUGAACUUUUGAAAUUCAAAAGCUGCUUUUGGACUUAUUUGACUAAUUUUAUGAAUCCUUCGUUGGGGAAGAAUUUAUAAACGAUCUAAUUUAUAAAUUGAUAGAAAUAAGUGAUAGAUAGGUGAAUAAUACAUGUGAAUCCUUUGAAAUGUGUUGUUGAAAAUGAAAUUUUAUCAUUUAUAAAUCAUUUUAAGGCGAAUGGAGGCUAACCAACCAAUUUUCCAUUUAUGCAUAUUGAACUUGUAUAAUUCGGGCUCAUUUAUUGGAUUGUUUUGGUACCAUCUUCUAUGCUCUUGUAGUGGGUAUUAAAAUUAAAUUUUUAGUAAAAUUUUGAUAAUAGUUGAU
rnacentral:lncRNA from 1 species